CAGCAGCCGCGGUAAUGCGGAGGGUGCGAGCGUUAAUCGGAAUAACUGGGCGUAAAGGGCACGCAGGCGGUGACUUAAGUGAGGUGUGAAAGCCCCGGGCUUAACCUGGGAAUUGCAUUUCAUACUGGGUCGCUAGAGUACUUUAGGGAGGGGUAGAAUUCCACGUGUAGCGGUGAAAUGCGUAGAGAUGUGGAGGAAUACCGAAGGCGAAGGCAGCUCCUUGGGAAUGUACUGACGCUCAUGUGCGAAAGCGUGGGAGCAAACAGGAUUAGAUACCCGCGUAGUCCCUGUCUCUUAUACA
rnacentral:rRNA from 1 species